rnacentral:rRNA from 1 species
UACGUAGGGGGCUAGCGUUGUCCGGAUUUAUUGGGCGUAAAGGGCUCGUAGGCGGUUUGUCGCGUCGGGAGUGAAAACACCGGGCUUAACUCGGUGCUUGCUUUCGAUACGGGCAGACUAGAGGUAUGCAGGGGAGAACGGAAUUCCUGGUGUAGCGGUGAAAUGCGCAGAUAUCAGGAGGGACACCGGUGGCGAAGGCGGUUCUCUGGGCAUUACCUGACGCUGAGGAGCGAAAGUGUGGGGAGCGAACAGG